GCCUCCGUCUUGCCUCAGACCUUGCUCUUUCAUUAACAGGUAUUAUUAUGUCGACUUUUCUGGGCACCAGGUGCUUUUCCGAGCACUUGACAAACACAAACUCCUCAGUCCCGGUAACGAACUGCCAGGGGGGUGCCGGAACCGCCCCACUUUGUGGAUGGGAUCAGAGAGAAACUCCCUCCAGUUGAUAUCCCUGGGGCUUAGAAGCCAGAGACGGGCGUUUUCAAUGGCAGAAAUUGCUGUCAUGACAUGAAAAGGAGAAGUGCAGAAAUACCUCAGGGAGAAGCCAGGCUUCCCGUCGCCGUGGGAUUAUUCUGACAGUGAGGGAGGUGUGACUGAGAAAAGCUGAGCGCCCCUUUGAAGAGCCAGAAUUAAUCACGGCGACUGAAAGGAACGGCUCAGGUGAGUGCACUUAGCGCUCGGUGUGGCGUGGGAGUGGGCGCCGGGCGUGGACAGGGCUGCCCACGUCCACACGCCCGUUCAGCGGGUUUCGAGGGGCCCUAAGUGCACACGUGGGGCCUCGCUGGGCCAGGAACACUGAGCUGACACAUCACACGUUUAACUGAAAACAAGCAAACACAGAAAAUCCAACAAGUGUACCUCAAUAUGCAUACUUCCUCGGGAACGAAUACACUUUGGAGAGGAGUGUGUACUCAACGCUAUGUGGCCUAAAAACGCCCAGCUGGAAACUGGGAAACUGUCUCCUACCCUCAAUCUAAAUCAGCGUCUUGGGCGUGGGAGAGGGUGGCCCGUGGCGGCCCAGGGGCUGGGGCCACGGGAUGUGCUCUCGGGACCAGGAGGAGCGACAGGCUGUCAGGUCGGGAGGGAGGAAGCAGAGAGGGGGCUGGACCACCCGUCAGGAGCCACACACGCACCCCUCAGAGGCCCCAGCGGAGAGGCCCACGCCCCAGAUAACCGGGCCUGUGCCUGUUUCCCUCCACGAACAGCCCAGGGCUUGACAACAGGCAAAAUCGGUUUUGUUUGAAGACGAGAUCUAAACGUGCGUAAGCGGGUGCACACGGAGACGUUCCAUGUACUUGCUGCAAUGAGUCCUGGGACCCUCAGCUGGCAAGUGGGGCCAAGAAGGGACGCCUCCUCUCCGUUCUCUGCUCUGUCUCCAGUCGGUCCUGCGUCGGGGGACGAGGCUGCAGCCGUAUCACCUGCGUGCACCUCCGCGAGGCUGGACAGACUGCACGAGCCUGGAGCAGCCGACGACGGACGCCACUCACCGCGACGGUGGCCUCGUCCGUGCUCCCCGCGCGCGAGGGGAUGACCUCUCGAAGCUCACACGCCAUUCCUGCCUUUCCACCCGGGGUGCAGAGUUUCCAGGCUCACUCUUCCCCGGUCAGCUCGCAAGAGGGCCUCCCUUCACAAGGGGGAGGUUGGAGCUCAGAGCGAGCCGCCUGCUGACCCCACCGACCAGCACUGACCCCACUUAGCAGCCUCCCUUCGGAUUCCCGGGCUCCUUACACGGUCUGUUGUACAAGCAAAUGAUUCUGACUCCUUCACGAACUCAUUUACUUGACGGCUUGGCUGCCCAGCAACGUGCAAAACGCCCAUGGAUGCUGCAGGGGAGCGGCCACACGUUGGGGGCCCAGGUCACACCCUCCAGGAGCCUCCCUUCCCAUGCACGACACAGGUGACCAAAUACCCACAGCGUGAGGUAGGGCGUCAUCGCCGUAGUAAGAGGCCGGUGCGUCGCCGGGUCCUGGGUGUGGAGCGGUCUGUCCGUGCGUUCAGGGACUCUGGGAAGGGCUGACCUCGUUCCGUGGCUGGGCUUCCGUGGGCACAAGGUCAGGGAAGGUCAUUGCAAGGGAAUGUGCCUGUGCCACAAGGGUCACGUAUUCUUUGUGCCAUGACCUGUGCAUACGUUUGUAAAUGCUUAUUUCAAGAAGAAACAUGCAGUGAAAGAU